GUAUUUAGGUGUGUUUUGCUCA
rnacentral:siRNA from 1 species